rnacentral:rRNA from 1 species
UCUCCCAACAGACUUCUCUUAAAGCCAACAGCCAUAUAGUCUUGGGCUGUGACCUUGUCAGCACUAAGUAGAGUCAGGUCUGAUUAGUACUUGGAUGAGAGACCUCCAAGGAAAAUCUAGGAUGUUGCAAGUG